rnacentral:misc_RNA from 1 species
GUAUUUAAAUGCUGUUAAGCGUUUGAACAUUCCAAUAAAAUAAAGUGUAUGUGUAUAUCAAAGAGGACUUUUGACUCCUCUUAACAAAGAGCCUACUAAUCCUCUUCAAAAAAGUGCACAGGUGUAUAAAGGAUGAGAGGGCAAGCACAUGCAAAAUUAAUUACCAGCUCAACCCUCAAAGGUUCAUUAAUGAUCCUUCCGCAGGUUCACCUACGGAAA